AGAACGUCAGCUGUAGAAAGUUCAAGAGUAGACCUACCGACAACUUCUUCCAGAUGUUUACUAUUCAUACUGAGGAUAUUUCCAGAGUUCCAGGUCCUUAAAGUCCAUAGAGGAGCACCUGUAGAAAGUCCUAGAGUAGACUGAAGAACUUUCUCCAGUUGUCGGUAGGUCUACUCUAGAACUUUCUCCAGUUGUCGGUAGGUCUGCUCUAGAACUUUCUCUAGUUGUCAAUAGGUCUGCUCUAGAACUUUCUCCAGUUGUCGGUAGGUCUGCUCUAGAACUUUCUCUAGUUGUCAAUAGGUCUGCUCUAGAACUUUCUCCAGUUGUCAGUAGGUCUGCUCUAGAACUUUCUCCAGUUGUCAAUAGGUCUGCUCUAGAACUUUCUCCAGUUGUCGGUAGGUCUGCUCUAGAACUUUCUCCAGUUGUCAGUAGGUCUGCUCUAGAACUUUCUCCAGUUGUCAAUAGGUCUGCUCUAGAACUUUCUCCAGUUGUCGGUAGGUCUACUCUAGAACUUUCUCUAGGUGUCAGUAGGUCUGCUCUAGAACUUUCUCCAGUUGUCAGUAGGUCUGCUCUAGAACUUUCUCCAGGUGUCGGUAGGUCUGCUCUAGAACUUUCUCCAGGUGUCGGUAGGUCUGCUCUAGAACUUUCUCCAGCGGACGUUCUCCUUUCCUGCUUCCAGAUGAAUACACACUUCAACCCAUUUUUAAGAAGCUAACCACAGUUCCUUGAAGACAAUAAUGUUAGUCUGGUCACAUGAAUGUUGCAGUUCUCUGAUAUUUAGUUUGUUCAAUUAAUUCAGAUUCAAACGGAGGAUGGAAUCUCUUCAAUGGAUCUACUUCCAUCGCUGUUGUUUGGACUACUAACCCUCUACACUCAAAUAGUAAAGGUUGGAGAUAAGACCAUUUACCGACGUUGGUAAACUAAGUUGAGUGAUUACAGUUCAGAGGUUUGGGAUCAACACAUCAAAGCUCAAAGGUUCUCAGAAGACUGUCAGACUGGAACUUGUCUUAAGGUUGAAAUAAUCGUUGCUGCUGGCACUGAUAUCGGUUCAUCAGAAAACCCUGAGCUGAAGUUAAAGUCUGAGGAAGAAGAUUCAAACCCCCUGCCUCCAUCUGACGCCUUGUUUCCACACAGCUGACAUAAAGCCUACACCACCUGGUGUCCAAAGUAAGAAUUAGCUUGUAGACAUCAACCGACCAAUGCUAGGAAUUUGUCUUCUGGUUGGUGGUCAUUAACUAUAACGCAAGUCUUUGUCACAGUGCCCGUUGCUGCGAAACUCCCACAAUGCUCUCUGCUUUAACAUGUAGUCUGAGUGACACCUCUCUGGUCUGUACAGGAUGAAACAGGAAGAGGCUCCACUAAGUUCAAUGUUUUCAGCGUACUCGAGAGAAAUUCUAGACUACCUAAACACAGCGGAGAUGUUGAGGUUCCUGAAGGGAUUUUUGGUGUUGUUGAUCUGAAGAGCUGUGUGGAAACGGCUCUAAAGGUGGAGUCCGGCUUCCUCUUCAGUUAGUAUCAGAAUCUAACCUAAACUGAUGUGUUUAAUGGACUCUAACUGACCAAUGGGCGAAGACGGGACUGGACUGGUUGUUCUGGUCCAGUUCUGCUCUCACCGUCUUGUAACUCUGCAGUUUACUUGACGAUGUUACAAGCCGCUCAGUGUGCUCAGCUGUCCCUUCCAGGCUUCUGUACGGACCAGUUUUUAAAUGCUGCUU